CCUUCUUGGAUUUUCAAACAGGCAAUCAUAAAUGCAAAUAGUGAUCAUUUAUCAUCUUUGCAAUACUUACUCCUCUUUUUCCCUGUCUUAUUGCAUUGGCUUAAAGAUCAGUAACUUGAUUGCUUCAGAAAUCAUCCGCAAUGAGGACAUCAACGCCAGGGUGAGCACCAUUGAGAAGUGGGUGGCCGUGGCUGACAUAUGCCGCUGCCUCCACAACUACAAUGCCGUGCUGGAGAUCACCUCGUCCAUGAACCGCAGUGCAAUCUUCCGGCUCAAAAAGACGUGGCUCAAAGUCUCUAAGCAGACUAAAGCUUUGAUUGAUAAGCUCCAAAAGCUUGUGUCAUCUGAGGGCAGAUUUAAGAAUCUCAGAGAAGCUCUGAAAAAGUAAGUGUGUGUUGUUUUAUUUUUAAAAUCAUAGACCUGCAUCGCAGAGGCAUUCACGCACCACCCCCAGCCAGAGCAGGAGGUCUGUCUGUCUGUUCAUCUGUCUACCCACAAGACCCCUAGAUUUCCUGGACCCCAGUGGUGGAGUCCUCCGUAGUCUGCCAGAGAAACUCCAAAGUUUG
rnacentral:sRNA from 1 species